UCCGGUUUGUCACCGGCAGUCUCCUUAGAGUGCCCUUGCGUAGCAACUAAGGACAAGGGUUGCGCUCGUUGCGGGACUUAACCCAACACCUCACGGCACGAGCUGACGACAGCCAUGCAGCAUCUGUGCACGCUCUCUUGCGAGUCCCUUCGCUUACGCGUUGGUACCACGUGCAUGUCAAGCCGAGGUAAGGUUCUGCGCGUUGCAUCGAAUUAAUCCACAUCAUCCACCGCUUGUGCGGGUCCCCGUCAAUUCCUUUGAGUUUUAAUCUUGCGACCGUACUCCCCAGGCGGUCGACUUCACGCGUUAGCUGCGGUACUAAGGAAGUCUCCUUCCCCAACACCUAGUCGACAUCGUUUACGGCUAGGACUAC
rnacentral:misc_RNA from 1 species